rnacentral:rRNA from 2 species
UACGAAGGGGGCUAGCGUUGUUCGGAAUUACUGGGCGUAAAGCGCUCGCAGGCGGAUCGAUAAGUCAGGGGUGAAAUCCCGGGGCUCAACCUCGGAAUUGCCUUUGAUACUGUCAAUCUCGAGUCCGGGAGAGGUGAGUGGAAUUCCUAGUGUAGAGGUGAAAUUCGUAGAUAUUAGGAAGAACACCAGUGGCGAAGGCGGCUCACUGGCCCGGAACUGACGCUCAUGAGCGAAAGCGUGGGGAGCAAACAGG